GUAUGUGGUUAAUUUGACUCAACGCGGAAAAGCUUAUCUGGUCCGGACGCAGUGAGGAUUGACAGACAGUUUCAGGAGUGGUUCUUGGUAAACAAUUGAGAGAGUUGAAGUUCUUUCAUGAUCUUGUGAGAGGUGGUGCAUGGCCGUUCUUAGUUCGUGUAGUGAUAUGUCUGCCUAAUCGCGUCACGAUAACCUAUUGGUCGACAACCCAAUUAUCACAACUGCAGCAUAACUCCCCUUGGGUGGGCGAGGCUCUGUGUAGGAUAGACCUCUGAACAGUACGCAACGAACGCGAUCGUAAUCCCUUGUUGAGUGGCCAUCCUGUAAGCUGCUGGAUUAGAACCCAGUGGUAUUAUCUCAGCCACAGAUUUUCUGGUUGUAAUGGGCCAUUUUUGAAACUCGGGGGAACAUCUGUGACUUUCUUUCUUAAC
rnacentral:rRNA from 1 species